AUGGCUGGCUUGGAAGGUUUCGAGUUCUUUGAGAUCGUAAUUGAGAAAUCUUGCAGUAGGCAGAGGCUGCCUGACAAGUUUGUGAAGAUGCUCGCCGGCCGUGAGCCCCACAAAGUGAAGUUACGGGAGGCCGGCAGCGGGCAUCGCGGGCUGGGGGACGUGGUGGUGGUGUUCGACGGCGAAGUCCACAUGUACCUAGGGACUGGCUGGGAGCAUUUCUCCCGCGCCCAUGAGCUGCAGCUCGGGCACUUCCUUGUCUUCCGCUAUGACGGCGGCGCCAUGUUCACCGUGAAGAUGCUCGACAACACCAUGUGCCGCAUGUCUACCAGCACGACAAUGAUGCCAGCAAUGGGAGCAGUAGCGGGGAUGACGAGGAGCAGAUUGGGCAAGAAGAGGAGCAGAGUAGGGAUGACGAGGAGCAGAGCGGGGAGGUGCAGCCUAUUUUGGCUGACAACGACCUUGCUAUGGUGGUGGCUGACGACGACCCUGCUAUGGUGGUGGCUGACAAGGACUUCGCGAUUGUGGUGCCUGACGCUGACCCUGCUAUGGUGGCUGACGACGACCUCGCGAUUGUGGUGCCUGACGCUGACCUUGCGAUGGUGGUGCCUAACGAUGACCUCGCGAUGGUAG
rnacentral:rRNA from 1 species